rnacentral:tRNA from 1 species
GGCCUGAUGGUCUAGGGGUAUGAUUCUCGCUUAGGGUGCGAGAGGUCCCAGGUUCAAAUCCCGGUCAGGCCC